CAAUAGCGUAUAUUAAAGUUGUUGCAGUUAAAAAGCUCGUAGUUGGAUUUGUGGUGUACUUCGGCGGCCCGUCACUAUGUGAUGGAGCUUGCUGAAGUCGCCAUCCUUGGGUGGAUCCUGUGUGGCAUUAAGUUGUCGUGCAGGGGAUGCCCAUCGUUUACUGUGAAAAAAUUAGAGUGUUCAAAGCAGGCUUAUGCCGUUGAAUAUAUUAGCAUGGAAUAAUAAGAUAGGACCUUGGUACUAUUUUGUUGGUUUGCGCACCAAGGUAAUGAUUAAUAGGGACAGUUGGGGGUAUUCGUAUUUCAUUGUCAGAGGUGAAAUUCUUGGAUUUUUGAAAGACGCACUACUGCGAAAGCAUUUACCAAGGAUGUUUUCAUUAA
rnacentral:rRNA from 1 species